UACGUAGGGGGCAAGCGUUGUCCGGAUUUAUUGGGCGUAAAGAGCGUGUAGGCGGUUUGGUAGGUCCGCUGGGAAAACUCGAGGCUCAACCUCGAGACGCCGGUGGAAACCAUCAGACUAGAGUCCGGAAGAGGAGAGUGGAAUUCCUGGUGUAGCGGUGAAAUGCGCAGAUAUCAGGAAGAACACCCGUGGCUAAGGCGGCUCUCUAGUACGGUACUGACGCUGAGGCACGAAAGCGUGGGGAGCAAACAGG
rnacentral:rRNA from 1 species